GAUGAACGCUGGCGGCGUGCCUAAUACAUGCAAGUCGAGCGAACAGAUAAGGAGCUUGCUCCUUUGACGUUAGCGGCGGACGGGUGAGUUACACGUGGAUAACCUACCUAUAAGACUGGGAUAACUUCGGGAAACCGGAGCUAAUACCGGAUAACAUAUUGAACCGCAUGGUUCAAUAGUGAAAGGCGGCUUUGCUGUCACUUAUAGAUGGAUCCGCGCCGUAUUAGCUAGUUGGUAAGGUAACGGCUUACCAAGGCAACGAUACGUAGCCGACCUGAGAGGGUGAUCGGCCACACUGGAACUGAGACACGGUCCAGACUCCUACGGGAGGCAGCAGUAGGGAAUCUUCCGCAAUGGGCGAAAGCCUGACGGAGCAACGCCGCGUGAGUGAUGAAGGUCUUCGGAUCGUAAAACUCUGUUAUCAGGGAAGAACAAAUGUGUAAGUAACUGUGCACAUCUUGACGGUAUCUGAUCAGAAAGCCACGGCUAACUACGUG
rnacentral:rRNA from 1 species